ensembl:snoRNA
AGGCUAUUUCAAAGAGGGCUUGUAGGAUUCUGCAACCCAGAGCUCUUAACACUUGGACCAAAGAUUGAAAUUCUCCAUGGGAUGUCAUAGUCACUCAAUAGAAGUGCUAUGUUUUCCAGUGGAGAUGCAAUA